AUCACUGAGGUUUUCAGCCAAGACAGCAGGAGGGGCUGGUGCGGUUGGCCUUGCCAUAGCUGCAGGACAUCCCUGUGGAGAGGUUUGUUCACUCACAGGUGUGGACCACCAUGACUGCCACCCUGGAGGCUUCCACCAAGGAUUGCUGCCCACUGGGUAACGUCCCAUACUAGGGCUGAGGCUUCAGACUAUGAAGACCAUAACUGGACAGGAGGAUGCUCUGUGACGACACCGUCUCACCAGGGGAAUGAGUAGCACACUUUCGUUUCCUUGGAGCCAAACAACAAUCGUGCUCGCCUUUUACUGAGAGCUUCCUGAGUGCUGGGAACAGGGUCGGAUGCAUCAUCUUGUGGCAUCCCUCCCUCUGCCGACACACGGUGAUUUCAGCUGUUUUUGUCUAGGAAGAUUUCUAAUUCUUCUAGAACUCAAAGUUCUUAGGGAAACGCCAUAUCAAGUAAGUGUUUUUAUAUCUAGGUUUUCAAACCUUUGUAUUCCUGUGACUCUGGGAGCUUUGGAAGGUGCUAUGGACGGGCUGUUGGGAGCUUCGGGCUGGGUCUCUGAGGGCGUCCUUGGAGCAAGACUGUGGCAGGCUCCAGGGAUGAGAUGCAGAGGAGAGGAGCUGCCAGGGGUGGCACUGCCAGGGAAAGGCGUUUCAUUUCUCCUCUCUGGGCGACAUCAGGGAGGAAUCCGGACAGUGACCUGGGCUGAGGAACUAUGGGGUCCCGGUGCUGUAAGUGCUUCAGGCCUGUAGCCCCGGGAUGGGCGCUGAGGGAGAUCAGAAUGUCCUGAGAUUCCCAGGGUGAGCAGCAGGCAAGCGGAGCAUCCAGGGAGCUCAACACACAGCCCGCAUCUGUGGCCACAUCUGCGCCAGCUGCCCAUCACUCUCAAGAGAGCCGUGUGGCGGAGGAUGGGAGGGUUCCAACUUCAUAGAUGGGACAAAUAAUUCAGUGUCAUUUCAGCUAAGCGCCCUUUACUUCCGUAGUCCAGAUGGGCACACAGCCACCUGGAGAGAGAAGCCAACGACCAACAUAUUCCAGAGAGAUUAAUUACCAGGGGAAGCUGUUAAAAAAAAAUGAGAAUUACAGAGGAAUUGGUGUCACCAAAGUGAGCCUCGUCGUAACAGCGACAAGUAUAGAGUUUUAUCGCAGCAGAAUGGCAUCCUUGUUGCGCAGUCUGUAACGCAGAGAAGUGGCACCAGAGUUAAACGCGGUUUGUCCCCAAGUUCAUGAGCUGGGAGCUGGCUCCCCAGUGGAACAGCAUGGACAGGUAGUGGGAUCGUUGAGACACAAGUCCUAGAAGGAGGUAAUGGGUCAUGACUCACGUGUGAAGGGAUUAAUGCAGGUCUCACCAGAGUAGAUCGGUUCCCCAGAGAGCAGGUUCUUGUGAAAGACAGAGGGCGUCUCCUGCGUCCAUGCUCAGCUGCUCUCUUUCUUACACACUUUCUGGCUGUGUGAUGCAAUCCACCAUGAGGUAAGGAUCAGAAGCUGAUGCCAACACCAUACUCCUGGACCUCCAGAGCUAGAAGCUGAGUAAACCUCUUUUCUUUCAAUAACACCAAGCCCCAGAUAUUUUGUUACAGCAACACCAAGCCAAUAAGAUAAGUGGACUUCAGUCUACAAAGGUAUUUGCUGAGAACAUUUUAGGUUAAGUAGAAUUGUUUUACAAAUAGCUUCUUCUCAUCUUCAGUGUGCAAUACAAUGGAAAUCACCAGGGAUGUCUGGAAAACAUCUCUACAUUGGAAAUAUUUAGGUAUCUCAGAAAAUUGAAUUAAUUCACUGCAGGAAAAAAAAGUUCUCUUACUUGGCAGGUAUUUUCCAAACAGGACAAAUACAUUCAAAGUAAUUUUUGUUUCAGUGGCUGCUACAAGAAGCUAUAAAAAUUACUGGCACUAUCGUAAGUUUGUUUUGGAGGAUAAAGCAUAUGAAGCAGAAAGAAUAAUCCUUAUUACUUAACAAAUAUGCAGCCAACCUGCCCCUAGCCCUCGUCCUCCAUGAGUGUCCCCUCUACUGUGUCCCCAAGACCUCGGUCCCCCAUGCCCCUGCUGCUCCUCACGAGAGUGCUAACGCCCAGCCUUGCAGGCUGAAAGGCAGGGACAGCCACUGCCCGCCCAGGUAGGGGUGGGCGGGAGGGAGGAGCCCCGUCCAGAUGCACUGGAGCUCACUGUCUGCCUGGG
ensembl:lncRNA